GGUUCAGGAUGAACGCUGGCGGCGUGCUUAAUACAUGCAAGUCGAACGAAGCACUUACAGCCGAUCCCUUCGGGGUGAAGCAGUUUGUGACUUAGUGGCGGACGGGUGAGUAACGCGUGGGUAACCUGCCUUAUGCAGGGGGAUAACAGUUAGAAAUGACUGCUAAUACCGCAUAAGCGCACAGCACCGCAUGGUGCCGUGUGAAAAGAUUUAUCGGCAUAAGAUGGACCCGCGUCUGAUUAGGUAGUUGGUGAGGUAACGGCCCACCAAGCCUACGAUCAGUAGCCGACUUGAGAGAGUGAUCGGCCACAUUGGGACUGAGACACGGCCCAGACUCCUACGGGAGGCAGCAGUAGGGAAUAUUGCACAAUGGGGGAAACCCUGAUGCAGCGAACCGCCGCGUGAGUGAUUGAAGCAUUUCGGUGCGUAAAGCUCUAUCAGCAGGGAAGAUAAUGACGGUACCUGACUAAGAAGCCCCGGCUAACUACGUGCCAGCCGCGGC
rnacentral:rRNA from 1 species